rnacentral:lncRNA from 1 species
AGAUGACCUUUGCCAAGAGCACAGCCGUCUUUCACGGUCACAGAGAGGUAGGACAAAAUGAGUGGUGUUCAAGAAUUGGUUUGUAGCACAAUAUUUCAACUAUGUCCUUUAAAAAGUUUCUCCACAGACACUACCCAAAGCAGUGCUUCACUACAGUGGCAGACAGACCUGAAAAUUUUCAUCUGAAGCAGCAGAGUGAACUGCAGAGGCAGGUCACCAACCAGUGUGGAGGCUAAAAGCGGGCCUCUUUGGGGAUUCCAGGUGGAAGUGUUGGACAUCUGUAGUAUUCCUGGUCUCGAAUCAUCCUGAUAUUCUUCAUUUUGUUAUUCACAUUGGACUAGGCAGGAACAAAGAUCACCACAACUGGCUCCCCUUCAACUAUGUUAGAUGGCAACUUGCCUUCAGUAUGGUGAAACACAUCAGUUAAGACCGGGGUUGUGCAUGGCAGGACUUUCUACAAGGACACCCAGUCUCCUUAAUAAACAUGAGAUGCUCUCUUUCCAGAAUUUCUCUUGCCUGACACAGCAUAGGAAGAUGCUGAACGGCCACACAGUGAUCCAUUGGUCAGUGGUGACAUAAGGAGGUCAGAGGGGAGGAGUGAGGAGAAGUAGGGAAGACUAGGUGGUUGUAGGCCUCCUUCAUCUGUUCAUUGGCUGUGGCAUUAGGCCAGCUACUCUUUGCACUUCUGUAAAGUGAGACGGUCGAUCUUGUCUGCCUCUCUAGAGGAUGGUUGCAGGUGUCAAAUGGGGUAGUUAGGUGGGAGGGCAUUUCACAAAGUUAAAAAAUAUGACUUUGGAGGCUUGUUAUAUUGAUGAGGAUUAUAAUCCCUGAGAAUUCCUGGUAUGAAGAAGGGAA